rnacentral:rRNA from 1 species
AUUUCCUACGGGAGGCAGCAGUGAGGAAUAUUGGUCAAUGGGCGGGAGCCUGAACCAGCCAAGUCGCGUGAGGGAAGACGGUCCUAUGGAUUGUAAACCUCUUUAGGCGGGGAGCAAUGCCGGGCACGCGUGCCCGGAGGGAGAGUACCCGCAGAAUAAGCAUCGGCUAACUCCGUGCCAGCAGCCGCGGUAAUACGGAGGAUGCGAGCGUUAUCCGGAUUUAUUGGGUUUAAAGGGUGCGUAGGUUGUUUUUUAAGUCAGCGGUGAAAGUUUGUGGCUCAACCAUAAAAUUGCCGUUGAAACUG